GUUUUUUUUCAUGACGACCUAUAAAAAACGACAGUGUUACCCCUUAUGUUUUUUUUCAUGACGACCAAUAAAUAACAACAGUGUUACCCCUUAUGUUUUUUUUCAUGACGACCAAUAAAAAACGACAGUGUUACCCCUUAUGUUUUUUUUCAUGACGACCAAUAAAAAACAACAGUGUUACCCCGUAUGUUUUUUUUCAUGACGACCAAAGAAAAACAACAGUGUUACCCCUUAUGUUUUUUUUCAUGACCACCAAUAAAAAACAACAGUGUUACCCCUUAUGUUUUUUUUCAUGACGACCAACAAAAAACAACAGUGUUACCCCUUAUGUUUUUUUUCAUGACCACCAAUAAAAAACAACAGUGUUACCCCUUAUGUUUUUUUUCAUGACGACCAAUAAAAAACCACAUUACCCCUUAUGGUUUUUUUCAUGACGACCUAUAAAAAACGACAGUGUUACCCCUUAUGUUUUUUUUCAUGACGACCAAUAAAAAACGACAGUGUUACCCCUUAUGUUUUUUUUCAUGACGACCAAUAAAAAACAACAGUGUUAUCCCGUAUGUUUUUUUUCAUGACGACCAAAGAAAAACAACAGUGUUACCCCUUAUGUUUUUUUUCAUGACCACCAAUAAAAAACAACAGUGUUACCCCUUAUGUUUUUUUUCAUGACGACCAACAAAAAACAACAGUGUUACCCCUUAUGUUUUUUUUCAUGACCACCAAUAAAAAACAACAGUGUUACCCCUUAUGUUUUUUUUCAUGACGACCAAUAAAAAACCACAUUACCCCUUAUGGUUUUUUUCAUGACGACCUAUAAAAAACGACAGUGUUACCCCUUAUGUUUUUUUUCAUGACGACCAAUAAAUAACAACAGUGUUACCCCUUAUGUUUUUUUUCAUGACGACCAAUAAAAAACAACAGUGUUACCCCGUAAGUUUUUUUUCAUGACGACCAAAGAAAAACAACAGUGUUACCCCUUAUGUUUUUUUUCAUGACGACCAAUAAAAAACAACAGUGUUACCCCUUAUGUUUUUUUUCAUGAGGAUCAAUAAAAAACAACAGUAUUACCCCUUAUGUUUUUUUUCAUGACGACCAAUAAAAAACGACAGUGUUACCCCUUGUGUUUUUUUUCAUGACGACCAAUAAAAAACAACAGUGUUACCCCUUAUGUUUUCUUUCAUGACGACCAAUAAAAAACAACAGUGCUACCCCUUAUGUUUUUUUUCAUGAAUACCAAUAAAAAACAACAGUGUUACCCCUUAUGUUUUUUUUCAUGACGACCAAUAAAAAACGACAGUGUUACCCCGUAUGUUUUUUUUCAUGACGACCAAUAAAAAACAACAGUGUUACCCCUUUUGGUUUUUUUCAUGACAACCAAUAAAAAACGACAGUGUUACCCCUUGUGUUUUAUUUGACAAAGACAACAGUGUUACCCCUUAUGGUUUUUUUCAUGACGACCAAUAAAAAACAACAGUGUUACCCCCUAUGUUUUUUUUCAUGACGACCAAUAAAAAACAACAGUGUUACCCCCUAUGUUUUUUUUCAUGACGACCAAUAAAAAACAACAGUGUUACCCCUUAUGUUUUUUUUCAUGACGACCAAUAAAAAACGACAGUGUUACCCCUUAUGUUUUUUUUCAUGACGACUAAUAAAAAACGACAGUGUUACCCCUUAUGUUUUUUUUCAUGACGACGAAAGAAAAACAACAGUGUUACCCCCUAUGUUUUUUUUCAUGACGACCAAAGAAAAACAACAGUGUUUCCCCUUAUGCUUUUUUUCAUGACGACCAAUAAAAAACAACAGUGUUACCCCUUAUGUUUUUUUUCAUGACGACCAAUA